ACAGCAACGGGGACAACAAGGGCGGGCACACCGUAGCUCUCGGCGCCGCGCGCAGGAACGCCGGCAGGGGGAUCGACCUGGUGGUGGCCUGACCACGAUGCUGCAGCCGGCGACCACCUCCCCGACCGACCUUCUCCUCUUUACGGUUGGACCUGCUGCAUGCUCCUGACGCCACUCCGCCCCGACCACGCCAGCCAGCUUUUUCCAGAAAAUUCAAUGGCUUGGCAUCGACAUUGGCGCUGGAUGCACCCCUGGAGCCAGUCUUCCACUUGUCUGUCACGCCCAAGUAGACUGCUGGGUGGUGAUCUCUCUUGGCACAGAGAACACUCCCGUCCCCGAGUCCUGAUGCUUGGCAUCAACACUAUGGGGAUGAAGUUCCUGCUGCGGUACUUGUGGUGGUGGUGGUGGUGCUGCUGCUGUACAUCCGACCUCCUGAUGGCCGCACCGUCCGUGAUGCCGAGAUGCACCUGUUUUAUCAUUCUACUAGAACCGCGACCACCAUACGAAAGAUGAAUAUGCGGUGUGCCUUAUAAGUUAUAACUGAAUAAUUGCCUUGCGGGUUGAGGAGAGCGACCUGGACAACGCCGGAGACAAGAACGACUCGUAGUAAGGUUCAGAUCAUACCGGGGUUGAAUAGCACCAAGCCGAGCGUACCAGGAGGCGGUGUUGGAGGGUGGACCAGUACCCCACUUGUGCUUUCAGAAUUUCUUGUGGCCACUUUUCCUUACUAUUGGAGCGUGCCUUGGAGGUGCAAACUAGGUGGGUUCAGGAUGACUUCCUUCACUAGGAUGCAGCUGGGGACAAGAACGACCCAGUGCCUCCUGCCUGCCUUUUACCUUGUAAACAGCACACAAGAUUUUCUUGCCGCCACUUAUCCUGAAUGUGGAUGGUGCCUUGAAGCUGGAAAAUGGGUGGCUUGGCUGCUGCUAUUGCUGCUUAGGCUCUCAUACGAUGGGCUUAGACUGCUGACUGCCGGCA